rnacentral:tRNA from 1 species
GGCGCCGUAGCCAAGUGGUUAAGGCGGCGGUCUGCAAAACCGCUAUUCGCCGGUUCGACUCCGGCCGGCGCCUCCA